GAUGAACGCUGGCGGCGUGCUUAACACAUGCAAGUCGAGCGAGUGAGUUCUUCGGAACGAUCUAGCGGCGGACGGGUGAGUAACACGUGGACAACCUGCCUCAUAGAGGGGAAUAGCCUCCCGAAAGGGAGAUUAAUACCGCAUAACAUCGUUGAAGGGCAUCCUUCGAUGAUCAAAGGAGUAAUCCGCUAUGAGAUGGGCCCGCGGCGCAUUAGCUAGUUGGUGAGGUAACGGCUCACCAAGGCGACGAUGCGUAGCCGACCUGAGAGGGUGAUCGGCCACAUUGGGACUGAGACACGGCCCAGACUCCUACGGGAGGCAGCAGUGGGGAAUAUUGCACAAUGGGGGAAACCCUGAUGCAGCAACGCCGCGUGAGUGAUGACGGCCUUCGGGUUGUAAAGCUCUGUCUUUGGGGACGAUAAUGACGGUACCCAAGGAGGAAGUCACGGCUAACUACGUGCCAGCCGCCGCGGUAA
rnacentral:rRNA from 1 species